UAGUAGGUACUAAGUACUCGUGAAGAGAAGAAACAAAAAACAUUCAAAAGGAAAAAAACAAUUUCUAAAGAAGUGAAGGUAAAUUCUAGAUUUGGACUAAUUUUCAACAUAUUUACUCGGAAUAAUGUUGUUGUAAAUUAGAUGAUCGUUUCUCUCAAUGUGUUACGGUAUUUUUGGGUACAAUUAUAGAAAACAUCAAGUUUCGUAAUUUCAAUCUUCCCAUCCAAAAUCAGACACAUAAACGCCAUGAAAGCUUUGAUUUUCAUAUUUUGGUUUUCCUUAUUAUCAUCAUAUGCAUCAUGUUUUGAAUUGAAUUAUGAACCAAUCAUCGGAAUCCUUUCCAUAGAAAUCACCCCAAAUCAUUUACCAAGCUUUCCAGCAUACAGUAGUUUAAUUUCAGCAUCAAAUGUGAAAGCUAUAGAAAGCUCAGGAGCUAGAGUUGUGCCGGUAGUUAUCAAUAAACCAAAAUCUUAUUACGAGAAUAUUAUGAAAUCAGUAAAUGGAUUGUUACUGCCAGGAGGAGGAGCAAAAAUUGGUAGAGGUAACCCAUACUACGAAUCAAUCAGAUUAGUAUAUGAUUUAGCUAAAGAGAUAAACGACAAUGGAACUGUCUUCCCUAUACUAGGAAUUUGCUUGGGAUUCGAGUUCAUGAUAACAGCAGCAAACAAAGAUGUCAAUUUUCAACGUAACUGUAGCAUAUUUUACGAAAACUAUCCAAUCAAUUUUGCCAAAAAUCCCUCUAUGACAGCACUUUUUCCUCGCCUUACGUCAGAUCAACGAAACACAUUGGAGAAUUAUAACAGCACAAUGAAUUGGCACACAUGGUGCGCUUACGUUGAUGACUUCAAAAACUCAUCGUUGAACGAAGAUUGGGUAAUCACAUCUACUAGUACGAGCUCUAAAGGUAUUGAAUUCAUAGCCAGCGUCGAACACAAGAAAUAUCCAUUCUAUGGAAUACAAUUUCAUCCGGAAAAACCUGCCUACGAAUGGAAGAGCCCAAAUGUUCCGCGAGGCGAGAAAAUUCUACUAGCUAAUAGAUAUUUUUUCGAUCAAUUGGUUCAUGUAGCAAAAUUCAAUAAUCAAACUUUCGCCACUAAAAAAGAGGAGAGUGAUGCAUUAAUUUAUAACUACCCUGCUCGUUAUGAUCCACAACCAAGAAAGGUGGGAACAUCGUAUGUACAGUUGUAUUUGUUUUGAAGAGGUUUAAGGGUACAUGUACAUCGUAGUUUUUAUAUGUCAGUAAUUACAUACUGUAAUUUUUCAACAUAAUUUAAUUACCUACUUACGUAUUAUUUUUUCAGUAUUACUGAGCUUUCAAAGAAAAAUCAUUUUGGAAAAUGAAACUUUUUAAAAACCUCAAAUCUUUCAUUUCUAACAAAAUACAUAAAUGAAUAUAAGUUGGAAAUUUUUUUCAAAAAUAAUUCAACAACAUAAGUAAAACACAUUAGUCAAAAGCACUCUUUGAGAAUGUAUUUAUCGAGUCAUGAAAUCUUUUCGUAAAUUCGACUGAAAUAUGACACAAAAAAAUCAUUUUGCAAAUUUAAUUCUUUAAUUCUGAUCACUUCACUAUACUAUAAUUUCAUUUCUAACAAUGAUUUUUUCGAGCAACUGAUAAUUACAUAAUGCGUUUUAAUAUCGUUUUUGUACUUUAUUUAGAUACGGUAGAGAUACCAAACAAUUGGAGGUUAAUUAGGUAGCAAUAUGUGCCAGAAAAUGGCCCACGAAUUUAUCACGAAUUGAUAAAUGAAUAUAUCUCUCAUUACAAAGGUGAAAAUAAAUGUACUUGUAACUACAUAUGAAAAGAAUCAUACUGCCUAUCUAACGUACUUUUAGUCAAAAUCGAGUAUAUGAUCAUUACAGACGACUAUUUAUAAACACAGUGUUAAAUUUGUAUACUCAAAAUCUUACAUCUGACGCCAUGAAAGUUUUAAUUUUAAUGUUUUUGUUUCGUUUUUUAACAUACUCGUCGUCUUAUGAACUGAAUAAAGAGCCGAUAAUUGGAAUUCUUUCCAUUGAAAUAUCGCCUGAUACUUCCCCAAGUUUUCCAGCUUACAGCAGUUUAAUUCCUGCAUCAUACGUGAAAGCUGUAGAAAGCUCAGGAGCAAGAGUUGUACCAGUCGUCAUCAAUAAACCGAAAUCCUACUAUGAGAAUAUCGUGAAAUCAGUAAAUGGAUUGGUCUUGCCUGGAGGAGGGGCGAAAAAUGGUAGAGGCAACCCAUACUACGAAUCAGUUCGAACAGUGUACAAUUUGGCCAAAGAACUAAAUGAAAACGGAACUGUCUUUCCUAUACUGGGAGUCUGUUUAGGAUACGAGUUCCUAAUCACUGCAGCGAACGACGAUGUCAAUCUUCUACACAACUGUAGCAUAUUUUACGAAAAUUACCCGAUUAACUUCAUCAAAAGUCCAUCGUAUGCAGCACUUUAUUCCCGUCUGACUUCAGAACAACGAGAUACCUUGGAAAAUUAUAACAGUACCAUGAACUGGCACAUAUGGUGCGCUUACGUCGAAGACUUCAGAAACUCCGUGUUAUUAAACAACGAUUGGGUAAUCACAUCCACCAGCACGAGCACCAAAGGUGUAGAAUUCAUAGCCAGCGCGGAACACAAAAAAUAUCCAUUUUAUGGCAUACAAUUUCAUCCGGAAAAAGUUGCUUUCGAAUGGAAGAGUCCAAAUCUACCUCGAGGCGAGAAAAUUCUACUAGCGAAUAGAUAUUUCUACGAUCAGCUAGUUUUCGUAGCUAAGUCUAAUAAUCAGACAUUUAGUAGUAAGAAAGAGGAGAGAGAUGCCUUAAUUUAUAACUAUCCUACUCGUUUUGAUACUAACCUAAAAGGAGCAGGCGGGACAUCCUACACACAAUUGUAUUUGUUUUAAGACGGAGGUAUGUUGAAUAGUAAGUUUGUUUCAAGUUCAAUAAUAAAAUCGUUAAAAACUUUAA